rnacentral:rRNA from 1 species
UCAGGAUGAACGCUAGCUACAGGCCUAACACAUGCAAGUCGAGGGGCGAGCAGAUCGAAAGCUUGCUUUGAUGCUGGCGACCGGCGAAUGGGUGAGUCACGCGUGUCCAACCUGGCCUCCGGCCCGGGGAUAGCCCUUGGAAAUGAGGAUUAAGACCCGAUACGUGGCGCUUCCGCAUGGCGGUGCCAUGAAACGAGACCGGAGAUGGGGACGCGUCGGAUUAGCUGACGGCGGGGCAACGGCCCACCGUGGCGACGAUCCGCAGGGGUUCUGAGAGGAAGGUCCCCCACACUGGCACUGAGACACGGGCCAGACUCCUACGGGAGGCAGCAGUGAGGAAUAUUGGUCACUGGCCGAGAGGCUGAACCAGCCAAGUAGCGUGCAGGAAUGACGGCCCUACGGGUUGUAAACUGCUUUUGCGGGAGGAUAAAGUGCGCCACGUGUGGCGCUUUGCAGGUAUCCCGUGAAUAAGGACCGGCUAAUUCCGUGCCAGCAGCAGC